CUCUUUGCUGACUGUGGGCCUACCAUAGGAACAACUAUCUGUGAUGUUGCUCCACCUAUUUCCUGACUUCUGUCUCAGUCUCUUCCUAUGUUUUCAAGGAGCAAGACUAGCAUCACAAGCGUGAGUUUUGGAGUCAAAGGUCAGAAGUUGUCCUGUCUGAGGACAAGAGCUGCACCAGAUGACUUCUCAAGAUCCCUUUGACCCUUAUGAUUGUCUACUGGCAUAAAUAUAAGGGACACUUUUUUACCCUUGUAAAUUUUCUCUGGGGUCCUGAAGAAGAAAUAAAUUGUAUACAUACCUAUAGAAGAUGGUAUGUC
rnacentral:lncRNA from 1 species